AAUUCUUGAAAAGGAAUCUCUUGGUGCAAAAACAAAAAUGACAGAUAUAAACGAAAUGAAAAGUUAUAUUAUACCUAGUCCAUAUAUCUUGUAAACCAUUGAAAAUCAUUGUACAUCACCUACGACAGUAAGUCGUGGUUGUGGUGUUAAGCAAAUAUAUACAAGAUUUUAAUUUAAGAACAAAAAGAUGUUUCAAAUUCAAAAACAAAUAAUGGACGCACUUUUUUUUCCUUUGAUUAUUGAUGAUUACGAC
rnacentral:lncRNA from 1 species